GUACUUACCUGGUGGGGGAGAUACUAUGAUCACAAAGGUGGAUUGCCCAAGGUGAGGUUUAUCCAUUGCAGUUUGUUGUGCUGAUUCCCAUGGUUUCUCAAAAUGCUGGGAACUUCUUUACUUAAUUGUGGUAGUGUGUGAUGGGGUUCCUGUGGGAUUGUAUUUG